rnacentral:rRNA from 1 species
AUGCCGCCGCCCGCCGCCCCCGUCGCCACCACCGGCUCCAGGCGCGCCGUCUACCUCCUCCUCGCAGCGCUCGCGGCGGCCCCCUUCCUCCUCCUCCUCUUCUUCAACGGCGGCGCCUCCCCGUCCGCGCUCUGCCGCUCCUCCCCCGCCCCCCGCCGCAUCCCGUACCCGUCCGUCCUCUGGUCCCGCGUGCCGCCCCUCCCGGGGCUCCCCUCCUCCCCGCUCCCCGACCUCCGCGCCUCCCACUGGAUCGUCUUCUCCGCGUCGCCCCACCACCAGCGCCACCGCCCGCUGGCCGCCGCCCCCGGCUGGCAGCUCCUCGCCGUCGCGGACGAGGCCACCCCGCCCGGCUGGUCCCACCCGGGCGCCGCGCUGCUCACCCUCGCCGACCAGGCCCGCCUCGGCUUCCGCUCCGUCGAGUUCCUCCCCGCCCGCGGCCACGCCCGCAAGGCCGCCGCGUACCUCUUCGCCGUGCAGCGCGGCGCGCGCGUCGUCUACGACGCCGACGCCCGCAACGCCGUGACCGGCAACAACCUCACCAGGCACUUCGAUGUCGAUCUGGACCAGCGCCAGGGGGGCGGCUCCGUUCUGCUGCAGUACAGCCACGCCGAUCCCAACCGCACGGUGGUGAACCCGUACGUGCACUUCGGGCAGCCGUCGGUCUGGCCGCGGGGGCUGCCGCUGGAGAAGGCCGGGGAGGUGGGCGCCGAGGAAUUCUACACGAUGGUGUACGGCGGUGGGCAGUUCAUACAGCAGGGGCUGUGCAAUGGCCUUCCAGAUGUUGACGCUGUGUUCUACCUCACACGAAAGUCACUGGAAAUGGAGGCUUUCGAUGUUCAGUUUGAUGCAGACGCACCCAAGGUAGCAUUGCCACAGGGCGUGAUGGCGCCAGUCAACUCACUGAACACAAUGUUCCAUGCACCGGCGUUCUGGGGUCUUGCAUUGCCGGUCUCGGUGAGUCCGAUGGCGUCCGAUGUUAUCCGUGGGUAUUGGGCGCAGAGGAUACUAUGGGAGAUUGGGGGCCAACUAGUUGUGUACCCACCGACUGUGCAUCGCACUGAUAAUGUGCAUGCUCAUCCAUUCGACGAGGAGAAGGAUAUCCAUGUCAAUGUAGGGAGGCUGAUAAAUUUCCUGAUGGAGUGGCGGUCGACGAAACCGACACUCUUUGAGCGGAUUCUUGAUUUGAGUUAUGCGAUGACGGAGGAGGGUUUCUGGUGGGAGAAGGAUUUGCAUUUCAUGGCUGCGUGGCUGCAAGAUCUGGUCGCUGUCGGGUACAGGCAGCCAAGGUUGAUGUCAUUGGAGAUCGACCGCCCGAGAGCGGCCAUUGGUCAUGGGGAUAAGCAGGAGUUUGUCCCCAAGAAGCAGCCUUCUGUCCAUCUUGGGGUUGAGGAGAUUGGGGAAGUAAGCACUGAGAUUGGCAAUCUCAUAAAAUGGAGGAAGCACUUUGGUGAUGUUGUGCUUAUAGUGCAUUGCACCGGACCUGUGGACCGGACUACACUAGAGUGGAGGCUUCUUUAUGGCCGGAUAUUCCGGGCAGUGGUUAUUCUUUCAGAGCAUGGCAAUUCAGAUCUUGCUGUCGAAUCCAGCAACUUUGCACAUGCAUACAAGUACUUGCCCAAGGUGUUUGAUCGGUUUGCAGGCGCUGAAGGAUUUGUAUUCCUUCAGGAUCAUAUGGUCCUAAAUUAUUGGAACCUAUUGGAUGCUGAUAAAUCCAAGCUCUGGAUAACCAACAAGGUGAAGGAAUCAUGGUCCGAUGUCCCUCUACCGGGAAAUAACAAUGAAUGGUUUAUGAACCAAGGAAAUAUGGUAAAAAAGGCGGUUGACAGUUUUCCAGUUCACCAUCAAGCCAAUUACAAAAGAAGCAUAGGUGAAGAUAAGAUAAUUCAUUGCAGCAGUGAGAUAUUCUACAUACCUCGACGGUACACCGGUGACUUCUCCUACCUCGUUAAAGUUAUCGGAAACCUAGACAUCCAUCACACCAUUGGAGUCCCCAUGUUGUUCCUUGCAAUGGAUGUACCGAGCAAUUUUGAACCCAAAGCUUUGGGAAAACUUGCUUAUCGGACAAACUUGCCAUCAGAUACCACUUUCUCGGCGAUAUAUACUCCUGAAGCACAUGCUGUGUACCCUAUGAAGGUUGAGAAUGAAAUUGAUUUUGUAAAACUAAUCAGAGUCAUGGCUUCAGGAGAUCCUUUUCUUCUGGAGUUGGUCUGA